AUUGGACGCUGGCGGCAGGUCUACCACAUGCCAGUCGUGAGGCAGCACAAGGGAGUUUACUCCUGAGGUGGCGAGCGGCGGACGGGUGAGUAAUGCCUAGGGACAUGCCUAGUCGCGGGGGAUAACAGCUGGAAACGAUUGCUAAUAACGCAUACGCCCUACGGGGGACAGAGGGGGACAUUAGGGCCUCACGCUAUUGGAUGAACCUAGGUGGGAUUAGCUAGUUGGAGAGGUAAUGGCUCACCCAGGCGACGAUCCCUAGCUGUUCUGAGAGGAUGAUCAGCCACACUGGGACUGAGACACGGCCCAGACUCCUACGGGAGGAAGCAGUGGGGAAUCUUGCACAAUGGGGGAAGCCCUGUUGCAGCCAGGCCGCGUGUGUGAAGAAGGCCUUCGGGUUGUAAAGCACUUUCAGUAGGGAGGAAAGGGUGAGUCUUAAUACGGCUCAUCUGUGACGUUACCUACAGAAGAAGGACCGGCUAACUCCGUGCCAGCAGCCGCCGUAA
rnacentral:rRNA from 1 species